rnacentral:rRNA from 1 species
GGCGGCAUGCCUUACACAUGCAAGUCGAACGGUAACAGGUCUUCGGAUGCUGACGAGUGGCGAACGGGUGAGUAAUACAUCGGAACGUGCCCAGUAAUGGGGGAUAGCUCGGCGAAAGCCGGAUUAAUACCGCAUACGCCCUGAGGGGGAAAGUGGGGGAUCGCAAGACCUCACGUUAUUGGAGCGGCCGAUGGCUGAUUAGCUAGUUGGUAGGGUAAAGGCCUACCAAGGCGACGAUCAGUAGCUGGUCUGAGAGGACGAUCAGCCACACUGGGACUGAGACACGGCCCAGACUCCUACGGGAGGCAGCAGUGGGGAAUUUUGGACAAUGGGGGAAACCCUGAUCCAGCAAUGCCGCGUGUGCGAAGAAGGCCUUCGGGUUGUAAAGCACUUUUGUCAGGGAAGAAAUCCUUUGGGCUAAUACCCUAGGGGGAUGACGGUACCUGAAGAAUAAGCACCGGCUAACUACGUGCCAGCAGCCGCGGUAAUACGUAGGGUGCAAGCGUUAAUCGGAAUUACUGGGCGUAAAGCGUGCGCAGGCGGUUGUGUAAGACAGGUGUGAAAUCCCCGGGCUUAACCUGGGAAUCGCAUUUGUGACUGCACGACUAGAGUGUGUCAGAGGGGGGUGGAAUUCCACGUGUAGCAGUGAAAUGCGUAGAUAUGUGGAGGAACACCAAUGGCGAAGGCAGCCCCCUGGGAUAACACUGACGCUCAUGCACGAAAGCGUGGGGAGCAAACAGGAUUAGAUACCCUGGUAGUCCACGCCCUAAACGAUGUCAACUAGUUGUUGGGGAUUUACUUCCUUGGUAACGUAGCUAACGCGUGAAGUUGACCGCCUGGGGAGUACGGCCGCAAGGUUAAAACUCAAAGGAAUUGGCGGGGACCCGCACAAGCGGUGGAUGAUGUGGAUUAAUUCGAUGCAACGCGAAAAACCUUACCUACCCUUGACAUGGCAGGAACUUUCCAGAGAUGGAUUGGUGCCCGAAAGGGAACCUGCACACAGGUGCUGCAUGGCUGUCGUCAGCUCGUGUCGUGAGAUGUUGGGUUAAGUCCCGCAACGAGCGCAACCCUUGUCAUUAGUUGCUACGAAAGGGCACUCUAAUGAGGCUGCCGGUGACAAACCGGAGGAAGGUGGGGAUGACGUCAAGUCCUCAUGGCCCUUAUGGGUAGGGCUUCACACGUCAUACAAUGGUCGGUACAGAGGGUUGCCAAGCCGCGAGGUGGAGCCAAUCCCAGAAAACCGAUCGUAGUCCGGAUCGCAGUCUGCAACUCGACUGCGUGAAGUCGGAAUCGCUAGUAAUCGCGGAUCAGAAUGCCGCGGUGAAUACGUUCCCGGGUCUUGUACACACCGCCCGUCACACCAUGGGAGUGGGUUCUACCAGAAGUGGCUAGUCUAACCGCAAGGAGGACGGUCACCACGGUAGGAUUCAUGACUGGGGUGAAGUC